AUUGCAGAUCAUCAACUUCCUGAUCAACUGCUGUUUCUGGAAAAAAAACUUGAGUUGAUCUUAGCUUACGAAAUUUUACAUCAUGACAACGAUCAAUUACAGUAAAUGGGACCACAUUGAGAUCUCGGAUGAUGAAGAUGACACUCAUCCAAAUGUUGACACAGCCAGUCUCUAUAAGUGGCGACAUCAAGCCAGGGUGGAGAGAAUGGAGCAGUCCAAGAAAGAAAAAGAGGAGUUUGAGAAAGGUUACAAAGAACACCAGCAAAAGAUGAAUGAAAUUAAACAGAAAUUAAAAGCAGCAGAUCUGAAUAAUGACCAAGAAGCACAAAUUGCAAAGACAAAACUCUCAGAACUGGAGGAACAGGAAAGGAAAUGGAAAGAAAAAGAAGCUGAAUUAAAAAAGAAAGAUCAAUUAACUCCCUUAAAUAUUGACACAAUUUGCCAUGAUGGAAAAUCCAAAACAGUUUGUAUAUGAAUAUUAUAUAUAAUCCACAUUAUUGUAGUUCUGUAAAGCUUGGAAAGAUUAAAGAAAAAUUACUGCUUGCAUUAAAUGUUAAAUUUUGAUCGUCAGGUGAUUAACAAACCAGCACCAAAGAAAGAAUUAACAGAAGAAGAGAAAAGUAAAAAACAUGCAGAAUUUGUGGAGAAGCAUAAAGCAGAAGCCAAGAAAUUUGGGAUGCUGCGUCGAUAUGAGGACAGCCAGCAGUUUUUACUGGACCAUCCAGAGCUUGUGUGCGAGGAAACUGCAAAUGUUCUUGUCAUCUGGUGUAUAGAUCUGGCCAUGGAGGAGAAAAAUGACCUGAUGAAUCAUGUGGCUCACCAAACAAUAGUGAUGAACUUCAUCAUGGAGCUCGCAAAACAGAUGGAUGUGGAUCCACGCAGCUGUGUUCGACCUUUCUUCUCAAGAAUAAAGCUGGGGGAAAAGCAGUACAUGGAGGCAUUUAACAGUGAACUGGAUGCUUUCAAAGAAAGAAUUACCAAGAGAGCGAAAGAAAAACUACAGAAAGCUAUGGAGGAAUAUGAAGAGGAAGAGAGACAGAAGAGGUUAGGGCCUGGAGGGCUUGAUCCGGUGGAAGUGUUUGAGAGUUUGCCAGAGGUCUUACAGAAGUGUUUUGAAUCUAAAGACAUUGCGUCACUACAAAAGGCAAUCACGGAACUGCCUGAGGAAGAGGCGCGCUACCACAUGAAGCGCUGUGUAGACUCCGGAUUGUGGGUCCCUGAGGCCAACAAAGGCCAGGAAACCGAGGGCAAGGAGAAAAAGGAGGGGGAGGGGGAAGAAGUGUAUGAUGAGGUGGAAUGAAGAGCUCCACCCACAAGGUCAAGGUUAAAAUCAGCAGCUGUCGCAUUAACUACAAAACCAAAGUCUCUAGCACGCUUGACAUGUUUUUCUUCUUAGAAGAGUAUUAAUGAACAGAAUUUAUUACUUUUUCUUUAAAGUUAAUGCAUGUACAUGUAAAAAUGUAAGAGUGUGAUGUAUUUGACUUAUAGCAGUGGCAUUCAUUCCUUCAUUAUGGUAAACAAAGCACUGGAAUACGUGAUAACAUUUAAUCUAAUACUAUUGUGUUGUAGUAAUUGAAAGGGAAAAGCACUUUCUUCUUCACCUGUGAAGGUCACAUUUAUGUACUUAGUUAAUAAGAUUUCCUUAGAUGUGAAAUUGUUACCUUUAUUUAUGUUCUCUUGGUAGUUUUCUUUGUUAAGUACAAGAAUUGCAAAUGUAUAACAGGUAGCCUGAACAAAAAAAAUUGCUAACUCUGAGGUAUUUUGGAUGCCUAUGCAGGCUAAAUUUUGUUAAAUUAACAAGUAAAACUUGUUGAUAUUGAUUAUAUUAAGGAAAGAAAAUUAUGUAUAACAUUGGCGUUCUCUCAUGUUCAUCUAAGUUUGUCUCCAUUUGUCAAAAACUAGGGUGAUGUCAUGUUAUGAUGAGAAAAAAACAAUUCUUUGUCACCCAAUGCAUUGUUGUUGUCCAUUUUAUCAUUAAUUCAUUAUAGCUGUCUUCAGCAUGAAUUUUAUUAAUUUGAAAAUAAAUUACUCGUAUUUAUU
rnacentral:misc_RNA from 1 species